GACGAACGCUGGCGGCGUGCCUAACACAUGCAAGUCGAACGAAGAGCGACGGAAGCUUGCUUCUAUCAAUCUUAGUGGCGAACGGGUGAGUAACGCGUAAUCAACCUGCCCUUCAGAGGGGGACAACAGUUGGAAACGACUGCUAAUACCGCAUACGAUCUAACCUCGGCAUCGAGGAUAGAUGAAAGGCGGCCUCUACAUGUAAGCUAUCACUGAAGGAGGGGAUUGCGUCGGAUUAGCUAGUUGGAGGGGUAACGGCCCACCAAGGCGAUGAUCAGUAGCCGGUCUGAGAGGAUGGACGGCCACAUUGGGACUGAGACACGGCCCAGACUCCUACGGGAGGCAGCAGUGGGGAAUCUUCCGCAAUGGACGAAAGUCUGACGGAGCAACGCCGCGUGAGUGAUGACGGCCUUCGGGUUGUAAAGCUCUGUUAAUCGGGACGAAAGGCCUUCUUGCGAAUAGUGAGAAGGAUUGACGGUACCGGAAUAGAAAGCCACGGCUAACUACGUG
rnacentral:rRNA from 1 species